UAAAUCUCAUAAUUUUUCAAUACUGGACAAAUUAACUAAUUUUUUUUACUAGGUUAGUAGAUUCAAGUCAUUUUUGAAAAAAAAAAAUAAUCAACUUAAGUCAAAGUUAAAGUCUGGUAAUUUAGAUAAAAUGAUAUUAUUUACAUUAAUAAUAGUUAAAUUUUGAACUUUGACACCCCCUAGUUUAUAUUUUUGUGGGCCCCAUUGGUUUGCUCAUAUAUUGUUUUUAAAAUUAAUUUUAGUUUAUCGAAAUACUCAAUGCAAAUUAUUUUUACUUUAAAACUUUUAUUGUUUUAAGUUUUUAAAUAAUACUUGUAAGUAACCUGAUCAUAAUAAAUCUAUAUCCAAUUUACAGCUUUGCAUUA